rnacentral:rRNA from 1 species
UUGAACGCUGGCGGCAUGCUUUACACAUGCAAGUCGAACGGUAACAGGUUAAGCUGACGAGUGGCGAACGGGUGAGUAAUGCAUCGGAACGUGCCCGAUCGUGGGGGAUAACGUAGCGAAAGCUGCGCUAAUACCGCAUACGAUCUGAGGAUGAAAGCGGGGGACCGUAAGGCCUCGCGCGAUCGGAGCGGCCGAUGUCAGAUUAGGUAGUUGGUGGGAUAAAAGCUUACCAAGCCGACGAUCUGUAGCUGGUCUGAGAGGACGACCAGCCACACUGGGACUGAGACACGGCCCAGACUCCUACGGGAGGCAGCAGUGGGGAAUUUUGGACAAUGGGCGAAAGCCUGAUCCAGCCAUGCCGCGUGCAGGAUGAAGGCCUUCGGGUUGUAAACUGCUUUUGUACGGAACGAAAAGACUCCUUCUAAUAAAGGGGGUCCAUGACGGUACCGUAAGAAUAAGCACCGGCUCACUACGU